ensembl:lncRNA
AUGACACAUUUUGAAAAUUUUCCCAGCAUAGUGUUCAUUCAUGUGUUUUUCAUUACUUUUCAUUUAAAUGAAGUCUUCUCUGCCAAUCUCUUUUUUUGCAUGAGACAGGUGGAUUUUAUCUUACAUUUGAAUCUACAUUUGAAUAAUAUCGUUCUCAUUCUAGUUAUGUUCAGAGACGAAGGAAUCCAACCAUCUCAUGAGAGACUUGUUGAGGAACCGGCACAAAAGGUGCUUUCUGCAGACCAAGAUUCUAUGGCUAAGGCUCAAGUUAACACAUGCUGCAGAGGAGAUAUCCUGUUCUCAGGGGUGAAAAAAGUGUUUGUGAUACAUUCAGCAGCACCAGAAGAAGGGCAGGGUCCCUGCAUCUGAAGGCCUGGAACCUCCUGAGAUCCAGCUGUGAGCCCCAGGGAGGAAAUGCAAAAGAAGGAAUCCUGACAUCUUUGGAAACCAAGGCAGGAACCCUCUGGACACUAAAGAGCUGCUCUAGUUUUACCUCAGCACGUCCUGAGCUCACUCCACUGUUCUUUUGGAGGUAGGCGCUGGCCAAGUCCUGACUAGAGAGGCAGAUUCCUCAGGAGCUGCAAAUGAUUCACCACAUUCCUAUUUUUGUUCACUGGUUUUCUGUAACCAAAUCACUAUUUAGAUGAAAAUCAUUUGUCUGCAGUGCAAUUAUAUCCAUUCAACCUGCACAGUCCCAUGCCGCACUGUACUCAUUUUUCUCUACUUAUUCUUCACCACGUUAUUCCAAACAAUCCAGUAAGUUUAUAUUUUAUGGGUAGGAAGACAAGAUGGGAAAGGUUUAGGUGGCCGUUUGAACACCCAGAGUCUGUCAUCAGUUUUGGGAUUAGGUGCUGCAUGUGAUUGAUAUUCAGGGAUGAGCUAAUCCCCUGAUUGAGCCACUUUUUAAGGAUAUAUUUGGGUGAUUGAGAAAGAGGAGGUGAAGAAGGAGUGGGGGCCAAACCAGUCUCUGGUAACAUUGUGUGUUUGCAAACCAGUUACCUCCUAUCUGUGUUCCAGUGCUUUCCAAACUCAUUCUAUCUCAGCAUUUAGGCAUGUUAGCUGGGAUCCUGGAGUACCUGUGGGGGACUCUCAGCAUAUUACAGAAGCUGUGAUCAGGUGGGGACAUCAUUGGGUGGGAGGUAUUGCAGUCCCUUGGUAGUGGUUUGAGAGGUGUCAUCCAGGCAUUUGUCCCCCAAAGCUGUACAGACAAGUAUCUCACAUGAAAGCAAAACCUUGCUGCUGCAGGACAGGCAGCAUAGGAUUCUGCCUGGGUUCUCCCUGUGUGAUAUUUUUGCUAUUCAGGGGGGCUCUUGAAGCUUUAGGGUUGCUAAUCUUUACAUGCAAAUCCUUUUUCAGAGUUGUUAUUGCCAAGGUACACCACAGAGUCAGCAGGCUAUUUAAAAAGCAAAACAGCACAGUGGACAAACGAAGAAAACCCUCAGACUUUGGGUGUCCCCAGUUGCAAGCAGAACCAGACAGUCUCCCCGUGUCUAUCAUAUGCCACUACUUGUACACCUGCAGUUCUUACCUGCAGAUCUGCUGUCUCACCCAGUUACUCUCCCAGUGCAGGUUCGGAUAGUUGACUCGUCACCUCAAACUGGAGCUUUGUACUUGUCUAGUGAAUUACAUACUAUUAUUUAGUUCAGUCCAUGUAUCCCAUUUACCAAGAUUUUACUGGAAAUCUAAGCAGGUGACCUCCAACACAUUUUCUGCUCUUCCUAGUCCAGUACAGUCUACAGAAGGAAGAAGUUUGGUCUGUCUUUCUUCAUGUGUAUCAGCAGGGAAAUUCAAAGUAGCUGUACUGUAGCUAGGGAUCCCAGAGUUGUUGCAGCAACCCUCAGACUGAAAGUGGACACUCUUAGCCCAGUUUCCCAACACCUCCACAACCAUCUUCAUCUAGUUAAAAUUAGUAAAACUGUGGUGAUAAUGUCAUAUAACUCUAUACCAAAAGCCAUAAAAUUCUGCUACUUCACCCUUACCUUGCUUUCUUUUCUCAAAGAAUCAGGAAUAAAAUCACCUGGCAUUAUCA